UCCCUGGUGGCUCAGACGGUAAAGCGUCUGUCUAUAAUGCGGGAGACCUGGGUUCGAUCCCUGGGUUGGGAA
rfam:Ovis aries breed Texel chromosome 12, whole genome shotgun sequence.